rnacentral:rRNA from 1 species
AUACGGAGGAUCCGAGCGUUAUCCGGAUUUAUUGGGUUUAAAGGGUGCGCAGGCGGGAGAUUAAGUCGGCGGUGAAAUUUUGCAGCUCAACUGUAAAAGUGCCUUCGAAACUGGGUUCCUUGAGUGUAGAUGAAGUAAGCGGAAUUUGUGGUGUAGCGGUGAAAUGCAUAGAUAUCACGAGGAACUCCGAUUGCGCAGGCAGCUUACUAAACUACUACUGACGCUCAGGCACGAAGGCGUGGGGAUCAAACAGGAUUAGAUACCCUGGUAGUCCACGCAGUAAACGAUGAUUACUAGCUGUUUGCGAUACAAUGUAAGCGGCUGAGCGAAAGCGUUAAGUAAUCCACCUGGGGAGUACGUUCGCAAGAAUGAAACUCAAAUGAAUUGACGGGG